CCCGAAUGGGGAAACCCAGUGUGACUCGUCACACUAUCAUUAACUGAAUCCAUAGGUUAAUGAGGCGAACCGGGGGAACUGAAACAUCUAAGUACCCCGAGGAAAAGAAAUCAACCGAGAUUCCCCCAGUAGCGGCGAGCGAACGGGGAGGAGCCCAGAGCCUGAAUCAGCAUGUGUGUUAGUGGAAGCGUCUGGAAAGGCGCGCGAUACAGGGUGACAGCCCCGUACACAAAAGCGCAUGUGCUGUGAGCUCGAUGAGUAGGGCGGGACACGUGGUAUCCUGUCUGAAUAUGGGGGGACCAUCCUCCAAGGCUAAAUACUCCUGACUGACCGAUAGUGAACCAGUACCGUGAGGGAAAGGCGAAAAGAACCCCGGCGAGGGGAGUGAAAAAGAACCUGAAACCGUGUACGUACAAGCAGUGGGAGCCCCACCACCAAAGCAUUCUCUGGUGUUGAAGGCCCUGCAAAGCAGCAUCGCGGUGGCGGAGCGUCGUUUGCGACGCCCAACACACAAAACAAGCGGUGAGUGCUUUGGGGUGGGGUGACUGCGUACCUUUUGUAUAAUGGGUCAGCGACUUAUAUUCUGUAGCAAGGUUAACCGUAUAGGGGAGCCGCAGGGAAACCGAGUCUUAAU
rnacentral:rRNA from 1 species